GCCUGGGUAGCUCAGUUGGUUAGAGCUUCUGCCUCAUACGUUAAGGUUGUGGGUUCAAUCCCCAAUCAAGGCA
rfam:Myotis davidii contig101725, whole genome shotgun sequence.